rnacentral:lncRNA from 1 species
CACUGAUAGGCUUGUUGUAGAAAAUGCUGCAGGAGAUACAUUUAAUAGUGAUCAAGGAUAAAUAGGAAUAACAAAUGUUACAAAGAAAGGACAUAUUUCUCUUGAGGGGACUAAACACAUGCAACAACAACAACAAAAACAACAAAAAGUGUAAAUAAAUAGCAAAAAAAUCAUGAGAUCAAGAUUUUUAAUCAUAAGGGAAUGUUAACUAUUUCUGCAGGUUUAAUAUUAUUCAGGGAAUCUAUAAAAGGAAACCACAAGGAAUUUUGACCAGUGUCAAUGAAAAGGAACUGAGAAGGGUCACUUUGUGGUCUGCGGAGGGGGGGAAAGGGAAGGAGGUAUUUUGGGGCUAUGAUACUUCACAUCCUGAGGGAUUUUAAAAACCUGCAGUCACCUUCUAGGAAAAGAAAAUACCUUUGCACAGAAAUGCAAGCAGUGAUGUGA